UUAGGCUUAAUAAUAGUCAUUAUUAUUUUGUUAUAAYUAUAUACUUUUUAUUUAUUUGAUUUUUAUUUAUUUUAAUAGAAUAUUUAAAUAAUAUCUUUAAUUAUUUCUUAUAAGAAAUAAUGAUUUAAUUAGUAUUGUUUAUAAUUAUAAUUUAGGAAUUCGGCAAUUAUUGAUUUUACCUGUUUAAUAAAGACAUGUCUUUUUGUUAUUUAAUUUAAAGUCUGGCCUGCCCAAUGAUUUUUAUUUAAUGGCUGCAGUAUUUUAACUGUACAAAGGUAGCGUAAUCACUUGUUUAUUAAUUUUAGACUAGUAUGAAGGGUUUGAUAAAAAUUAAUCUUUCUUAUUUAUAUAAAUAAGAAAUUAUUUUUUGAGUUAAAAAACUUAAAUAUUUUUAUAGGACGAGAAGACCCUAUAGAACUUUAUAUAAAAAUAUUAAUAUAUUAAUAUUUUUAUAUUUAAUUGGGGUGAUUUUAAUUUUUAGUUAACAAUUAUUUUUUUUUUCAAUAAUUUUUGAUUUUUUGAUCCAAUGUUUUUGAUUAUAAGAUUAAGUUACCUUAGGGAUAACAGCGUAAUUUAAUUGGAGAGUACUUAUCGAUAAUUGUGAGUUUGCGACCUCGAUGUUGAAUUAAGAUAAAAUUAGGGGUAGAUUUUUAUAUUUUUUGGUCUGUUCGACCAUUAAUUUCUUACAUGAUUUGAGUUUAGACCGGUGUGAGCCAGGUCGGUUUCUAUCCUUAAUAUAAUUAUUAUUUUUUAGUACGAGAGGACCAAAAAUUUAAUAAAAAUUUU
rnacentral:rRNA from 1 species